rnacentral:rRNA from 1 species
GAUGAACGCUGGCGGCGUGCUUAACACAUGCAAGUCGAACGGUGAACACGGAGCUUGCUCUGUGGGAUCAGUGGCGAACGGGUGAGUAACACGUGAGCAACCUGCCCCUGACUCUGGGAUAAGCGCUGGAAACGGCGUCUAAUACUGGAUAUGUGACGUGACCGCAUGGUCUGCGUUUGGAAAGAUUUUUCGGUUGGGGAUGGGCUCGCGGCCUAUCAGCUUGUUGGUGAGGUAAUGGCUCACCAAGGCGUCGACGGGUAGCCGGCCUGAGAGGGUGACCGGCCACACGGGGACGGAGACACGGCCCAGACCCCUACGGGGGGCAGCAGGGGGGAAUAUUGAAAAAGGGGCGAAAGCCUGAGGAAGCAACGCCGGGGGGGGGAUGACGGCCUUGGGGUGUUAAACCUUUUUUAGGAGGGAAGAAGCGAAAGUGACGGUCCUGGCAGAAAAAGCGCCGGCUAACUACGU